GAUGAACGCUGGCGGCGUGCCUAAUACAUGCAAGUAGAACGCUGAAGGAAGGAGCUUGCUCUUUCCGGAUGAGUUGCGAACGGGUGAGUAACGCGUAGGUAACCUGCCUGGUAGCGGGGGAUAACUAUUGGAAACGAUAGCUAAUACCGCAUAACAGUAGAUGUUGCAUGAUAUCUACUUAAAAGGUGCAAUUGCACCACUACCAGAUGGACCUGCGUUGUAUUAGCUAGUUGGUGAGGUAACGGCUCACCAAGGCGACGAUACAUAGCCGACCUGAGAGGGUGAUCGGCCAAACCGGGACUGGGACACGGCCCAGACUCCUACGGGAGGCAGCAGUAGGGAAUCUUCGGCAAUGGACGGAAGGCUGACCGAGCAACGCCGCGGGAGGGAAGAAGGUUUUCGGAUCGGAAAGCUCUGUUGUAAGGGAAGAACGAGUGUGAGAGUGGAAAGUUCACACUGUGACGGUAUCUUACCAGAAAGGGACGGCUAACUACGUG
rnacentral:rRNA from 1 species